UACGUAGGGGGCGAGCGUUGUCCGAAGUUACUGGGCGUAAAGAGCGCGUAGGCGGCUCUUUAAGUGAGGGGUGAAAGGUUCGGGCUCAACCCGGACACUGCCUUUCAUACUGGAGACCUUGAGUGCGGGAGGGGCGAGUGGAAUGGUCGGUGUAGCGGUGAAAUGCGUAGAUAUCGAUCGGAACACCCAUGGCGAAGGCAGCUCGCUGGCCUGCAACUGACGCUGAGGCGCGAAAGCGCGGGGAGCAAACAGG
rnacentral:rRNA from 1 species